rnacentral:rRNA from 1 species
GACGAACCGAGCGAACGUUGUUCGGAAUAACUGGGCUUAAAGGGCGCGUAGGCGGGCCGCCAAGUUCGAGGUGAAAUCCUCCGGCUCAACCGGAGAACUGCCUCGAAUACUGGAGGCCUCGAGGCGGGUAGGGGCAUGCGGAACUGUGGGGUGGAGCGGUGAAAUGCGUUGAUAUCCACAGGAACUCCGGUGGCGAAGGCGGCAUGCUGGACCCGAUCUGACGCUGAGGCGCGAAAGCCAGGGGAGCGAACGGG